GAAGUUGCAGUGAGCUGGAUCUCACUACUGCACUCCAGCCUGGCGACAAGAGCGAGACUCCGUCUCAAAAAAAAAAAAAAAAAAAGGAGUUGUAGAGAUAUUAAAUCAUUCUGGAAUUCCUAAUUAUACUUUAAUUUUUAGACGUAAUUUUAGAUAAUUUAUUUCCAGUGUUUUGUGCAUGUUCUCAUUUGUUCUUUUUCUCAGUUGAAUGCAUCAACUGGUUUGCGUCCUGUGAGCAUCCAGUCAGUUGAAAUUAAAGAUUCCUCAUUUCUCGUGAUUUCCAUUCUUGUCUUGGUCUUGAAUUUAGAGACUGAUGGUUUUUAUGAUAUCAGCCAUUUGAUUGUUUUCAUUUUCUAUUUAAGAAAUAUAAAGAAAAAAUACAUCAAGAUGGCCAAAUUACUACACAGUGAGCACCAGCACAGUCUGAUAGCUGCAAAUGUCUAUUCUUCUGCUGUGUAUGAAUAUCCAGAAUCAGCAUAGGAAGUUGUUUAGGGUGUCAGAAUAUAAGGCACAGAAGUAUGGGUUGUUUGAAAGCCAAACAGGAAAAUUAAAAGCCUCCUGGAUUGAUAUUUCAUAAUAAUUGACAAUUAUUAUGAAAUUUAACAAAUUAAUUGAUUAUUAUGAACAAUAGUAUAGUGUGUUCUUGUUCAGAAGUUAUAUUUGACAAUGCAGAAGGAGGUAGUUUUAUGAAAGUUUCUUUGAAGAUUUUUCUUUUUAAUUUUGAAUCAGAUUAUACCAACAAUAAAUUUUGGAAGUUUUUAUGGCCUAUAAUGUUGUAAGUUCCAGAAUGAAAAGGUCUCUAAUAAUCUGAAUAAAUGUGGACAUGUAUAGCAGAGAGAACUGUGUAAAUUAUCUUGCAGAAUAAAAUAGAAGGGUCCUAAAUCACGUUAACUCAAACAUUGUAUACUAGUGUUGUGUUUAUUCUUUAGGUCCUUGUGCCUUAUUUGGUUUUGUGUAUUCAACGAACUGAAAUAUUUGGAAUUCCUAUUUCUAUGCAUUUGGUGGUCCAUAAGAUUUUGUCAAAUGUAAACCUAUGGUUUAAUAUGCUUUAAAAUACUUAGUCUAGAGAAUGAUUUCUCUUUAGUCAUUUAAAUGUUCUGAAAAUUCAAAUCUUUUGACAUACAUAAAGUUGGCACGGUGUAUCAUCUAGAGUCCUUACUGGUAUUCAGGAUGAAAAUUUUCAUGCUGCAGUGUUAAUUCUCAUUUUUCUCUCCCAUUUUCUUUCUCACUUUGAUAUGUUAAUACUGAUAAUGGAUAAAGGGUCAGUUUUUAUAAUAAAUGGUUUGGGAAAGGUAUUCAGAGGAACCACUGUUACUUACCUAAGGUUAUGGAGUAAACUAGCUUGGACCUUGGGCCACAGGGCAACUAGGAUUCACUCAUAACAACACAGUGCCCUAUAUUUCUUAACUCCUUGUUGCCAUUUGAAACUCUGUACUCUUAUGUUUAAAGGUUCUUUAUAGCCUGUUUUUUUUUUUCCCAGAAAGUUACAUUGCUUUGUAUAGAAAUAAAAGGCAUGAAAAUUUGCUUGUUAAAAAA